ACAUGGCCUCCAAGGAGUAAGAAACCCUGGACCACCCACCCUAGCAAGGACACUGAGAGCAAGAAAGAGGACCUCAGUUCCUGAGGAGUCCCUGUUUCAAUUUGGCCUCCAACUCUGAACAUUUCCCUCACAAUUUCUAUCCCAGAACCCCAUGAUAACAGAAGCAGCCUAGGCAGCCCUUCCUACUAUCCUGGAUGCCAUCAAUAAAGUUCACUGUGCCCAC